GGACCUAUAGCUCAGUUGGUAGAGCCACCGGCUCAUAACCGGUCCGUCCUAGGUUCAAGUCCUAGUGGGUCCA
rnacentral:tRNA from 1 species